rnacentral:tRNA from 1 species
CCUGGUGGCUCAGAGGUUCAGGUGUCUGCCUGAAAUGCAGGAGACCCAGGUUCAAUCCCUGGGUCAGGA